rnacentral:sRNA from 1 species
UGGAAAAUAAUUACUUGAAAUGCCAUUGUUACAGAGAAUAUUCAUGACAGAAUGUUAUUGAUGACAUCGUCGUUGGAUUUUCUA